AGUGGAGGAGUGGGUCAGGAGGGUAGCGGAGUGGUGGGUCAGGAGAGGAGAGAGCAUCAGGGAACGGUGUGUGUGCCAUGUUUCAGGGUUUUAAUAGAUGAGUAUGAAUCACAGGAUCUGUGAGGCACGGGUCAUUACAAAGCAUUUACAGUGUAUCGAAGUAGAUCAAGUCGUUUACUUGCAAUAAUAAGAGAACAUGCCUCGUUAUACAGUUACCGCACAGUCAUUAUUUUAGUCAUUUAGAAUUAAUAAUUUUUAAAUCCUAAUUCUGGUCAUCCUUAAAUCUGCAUUAUGGAUUCUGUAUCCAGCUUCAAUCCCUUUGAAUCACUGUUACUGUAAUCUGAGGUGGCAGCAGUACAUAUCAGAGUUAACUGUUACUGUAUUCUGAGGUGGCAGCAGUACAUAUCAGAGUUAACUGUUACUGUAUUCUGAGGUGGCAGCAGUACAUAUCAGAGUUAACUGUUACUGUAUUCUGAGGUGGCAGCAGUACAUAUCAGAGUUAACUGUUACUGUAAUCUGAGGUGGCAGCAGUACAUAUCAGAGUUCACUGUUACUGUAAUCUGAGGUGGCAGCAGUACAUAUCAGAGUUCACUGUUACUGUAUUCUGAGGUGGCAGCAGUACAUAUCAGAGUUCACUGUUACUGUAUUCUGAGGUGGCAGCAGUACAUAUCAGAGUUAACUGUUACUGUAUUCUGAGGUGGCAGCAGUACAUAUCAGAGUUCACUGUUACUGUAUUCUGAGGUGGCAGCAGUACAUAUCAGAGUUAACUGUUACUGUAAUCUGAGGUGGCAGCAGUACAUAUCAGAGUUAACUGUUACUGUAAUCUGAGGUGGCAGCAGUACAUAUCAGAGUUAACUGUUACUGUAAUCUGAGGUGGCAGCAGUACAUAUCAGAGUUCACUGUUACUGUAUUCUGAGGUGGCAGCAGUACAUAUCAGAGUUAACUGUUACUGUAUUCUGAGGUGGCAGCAGUACAUAUCAGAGUUCACUGUUACUGUAUUCUGAGGUGGCAGCAGUACAUAUCAGAGUUAACUGUUACUGUAAUCUGAGGUGGCAGCAGUACAUAUCAGAGUUAACUGUUACUGUAAUCUGAGGUGGCAGCAGUACAUAUCAGAGUUAACUGUUACUGUAAUCUGAGGUGGCAGCAGUACAUAUCAGAGUUCACUGUUACUGUAAUCCGAGGUGGCAGCAGUACAUAUCAGAGUUAUUGUAAUAAUCUCACGAGGAAGCGUUGCACAAUAAAUAACCAGACGACAAUAAUUUCUACUAGGUACCAGGUAGCUAGACCUCAUAGUGAAACAGAGAGAGGCGGUUUAAGAAAA